GGACGAACGCUGGCGGCGUGCUUAACACAUGCAAGUCGAACGAGGAACGGAUGGAAGCUUGCUUUUAUCCGUUUCGAGUGGCGGACGGGUGAGUAACGCGUGAGGAACCUGGCUUUUGCAGGGGGAUAGCGUUUCGAAAGAGACGGUAAUACCGCAUGAGACCACAAUACCGCAUGGUGCAGGGGGUCAAAGGAGAGAUCCGGCAGAAGAUGGACUCGCGUCCCAUUAGGCAGUUGGCGGGGUAAAGACCCACCAAACCGACGAUGGGUAGCCGACCUGAGAGGGUGAUCGGCCACAUUGGAACUGAGAGACGGUCCAAACUCCUACGGGAGGCAGCAGUGGGGAAUAUUGGGCAAUGGGCGAAAAAGCCUGACCCAGCAACGCCGCGUGAGGGAAGAAGGUUUUCGGAUUGUAAACCUCUGUCCCAGGAGACGAGGAGAAGACGGUAUCCUGGGAGGAAGCCCCGGCUAACUACGUGCCAGCCGCUGC
rnacentral:rRNA from 1 species